rnacentral:rRNA from 1 species
UACAGAGGGUGCGAGCGUUGUCCGGAAUCACUGGGCGUAAGGGGCGCGUAGGCGGCUUUUCAAGCGUGCGGUGAAAGCUCGGGGCUUAACUCCGAGUCUGCCGUGCGAACUGGGAGGCUUGAGUCUGGUAGAGGUCGAUGGAAUUCCGGGUGUAGCGGUGGAAUGCGUAGAGAUCCGGAAGAACACCGGUGGCGAAGGCGGUCGACUGGGCCAGUACUGACGCUGAGGCGCGACAGCGUGGGGAGCAAACAGG